CACGUAGGCGGCGCUCUAAGUCAGGUGUGAAAUCCCCCGGCUCAACCGGGGAACUGCACCCGAUACUGGAGUGCUCGAGGACGGUAGGGGUGAGUGGAACUCCAGGUGGAGCGGUGAAAUGCGUAGAUAUCUGGAGGAACACCGGUGGCGAAAGCGGCUCACUGGACCGUCUCUGACGCUGAGGUGCGAAAGCUAGGGUAGCAAACG
rnacentral:rRNA from 1 species